rnacentral:rRNA from 1 species
GCGACUCCUGGUCAGGC